AUUGAACGCUGGCGGCAGGCCUAACACAUGCAAGUCGAACGGUAACAGGAAGCAGCUUGCUGCUUCGCUGACGAGUGGCGGACGGGUGAGUAAUGUCUGGGAAGCUGCCUGAUGGAGGGGGAUAACUACUGGAAACGGUAGCUAAUACCGCAUAAUGUCGCAAGACCAAAGAGGGGGACCUUCGGGCCUCUUGCCAUCGGAUGUGCCCAGAUGGGAUUAGCUUGUUGGUGGGGUAACGGCUCACCAAGGCGACGAUCCCUAGCUGGUCUGAGAGGAUGACCAGCCACACUGGGACUGAGGCACGGUCCAGACUCCUACGGGAGGCAGCAGUGGGGAAUAUUGCACAAUGGGCGCAAGCCUGAUGCAGCCAUGCCGCGUGUAUGAAGAAGGCCUUCGGGUUGUAAAGUACUUUCAGCGGGGAGGAAGGGAGUAAAGUUAAUACCUUUGCUCAUUGACGUUACCCGCAGAAGAAGCACCGGCUAACUCCGUG
rnacentral:rRNA from 1 species